rnacentral:rRNA from 1 species
UGGUCGGUACAAAGGGUUGCCAAGCCGCGAGGUGGAGCUAAUCCCAUAAAACCGAUCGUAGUCCGGAUCGCAGUCUGCAACUCGACUGCGUGAAGUCGGAAUCGCUAGUAAUCGUGAAUCAGAAUGUCACGGUGAAUACGUUCCCGGGCCUUGUACACACCGCCCGUCACACCAUGGGAGUGGGUUGCUCCAGAAGUAGCUAGUCUAACCGCAAGGGGGACGGUUACCACGGAGUGAUUCAUGACUGGGGUGAAGUCGUAACAAGGUAGCCGUAGGGGAACCUGCGGCUGGAUCACCUCCUUA